rnacentral:rRNA from 2 species
GAUGAACGCUAGCGGCAGGCUUAACACAUGCAAGUCGAGGGGUAACAUUGUAGCUUGCUACAGAUGACGACCGGCGCACGGGUGCGUAACGCGUAUACAAUCUACCUUAUACUGGGGUAUAGCCUUUAGAAAUGAAGAUUAACCCCCCAUAGUCUCUUAUAGUGGCAUCACUUAAAGAGUAAAGGUUACGGUAUAAGAUGAGUAUGCGUUCUAUUAGUUUGUUGGUGUGGUAACGGCACACCAAGACUGCGAUAGAUAGGGGCCCUGAGAGGGGGAUCCCCCACACUGGUACUGAGACACGGACCAGACUCCUACGGGAGGCAGCAGUGAGGAAUAUUGGACAAUGGAGGCAACUCUGAUCCAGCCAUGCCGCGUGUAGGAUGACUGCCCUAUGGGUUGUAAACUACUUUUAUACAGGAAGAAACACCUCUACGUGUAGAGGCUUGACGGUACUGUAAGAAUAAGGAUCGGCUAACUCCGUGCCAGCAGCCGCGGUAAUACGGAGGAUCCAAGCGUUAUCCGGAAUCAUUGGGUUUAAAGGGUCCGUAGGUGGAUAAUUAAGUCAGAGGUGAAAUCUUGCAGCUCAACUGUAAAAUUGCCUUUGAUACUGGUUAUCUUGAGUUAUUAUGAAGUAGUUAGAAUAUGUAGUGUAGCGGUGAAAUGCAUAGAUAUUACAUAGAAUACCAAUUGCGAAGGCAGAUUACUAAUAAUCAACUGACACU